rnacentral:rRNA from 1 species
AUUGAACGCUGGCGGCAUGCUUUACACAUGCAAGUCGAGCGGCAGCGCGGGGGCAACCCUGGCGGCGAGCGGCGAACGGGUGAGUAAUGCAUCGGAACGUAUCCUCGAGUGGGGGAUAACCCAGCGAAAGUUGGGCUAAUACCGCAUGAGCUCUGAGGAGGAAAGCGGGGGACCUGCGAGGGCCUCGCGCUGGAGGGGCGGCCGAUGUCCGAUUAGCUAGUUGGUGGGGUAAAGGCUUACCAAGGCGACGAUCGGUAGCUGGUCUGAGAGGAUGAUCAGCCACACUGGGACUGAGACACGGCCCAGACUCCUACGGGAGGCAGCAGUGGGGAAUUUUGGACAAUGGGGGCAACCCUGAUCCAGCCAUGCCGCGUGAGUGAAGAAGGCCUUCGGGUUGUAAAGCUCUUUCGGACGGAACGAAAUGGGCGGGACUAAUACUCCGGUCUGAUGACGGUACCGUAAGAAGAAGCACCGGCUAACUACGUG